rnacentral:rRNA from 1 species
GACGAACGCUGGCGGCGUGCUUAACACAUGCAAGUCGAGCGGUAAGGCCCUUUCGGGGGUACGACGAGCGGCGAACGGGUGAGUAACACGUGGGUGGACCUGCCCUCAGCUCUGGGAUAAGCCUGGGAAACCGGGUCUAAUACCGGAUAUGACUCCAUGACGCAUGUUGUGGGGUGGAAAGCCUUGUGCGGCUGAGGAUGGGCCCGCGGCCUAUCAGCUUGUUGGUGGGGUGAUGGCCUACCAAGGCGACGACGGGUAGCCGGCCUGAGAGGGCGACCGGCCACACUGGGACUGAGACACGGCCCAGACUCCUACGGGAGGCAGCAGUGGGGAAUCUUGCGCAAUGGGCGAAAGCCUGACGCAGCGACGCCGCGUGAGGGAUGACGGCCUGUGUAACUC